rnacentral:rRNA from 1 species
UGAGGAACAUGACCUUCGGCGGGGGAUAGCCGGCCCAACGGCCGGGUAAUACCGCGUACGACCACAUGGGGACAUCCCUGAGUGGUGAAAGCAGCAAUGCGCCGAUGGAGUGCCUCGCGGCCUAUCAGCUAGUUGGUGGGGUAACGGCUCACCAAGGCAACGGACGGGUAGCUGGUCUGAGAGGAUGGCCAGCCACAUUGGGACUGAGACACGGCCCAGACUCCGUAGGGACGG